rnacentral:rRNA from 1 species
UACGAAGGGGGCUAGCGUUGCUCGGAAUGACUGGGCGUAAAGGGCGCGUAGGCGGAUCAUACAGUCAGAUGUGAAAUUCCUGGGCUUAACCUGGGGGCUGCAUUUGAUACGUGUGGUCUAGAGUGUGAAAGAGGGUCGUGGAAUUCCCAGUGUAGAGGUGAAAUGCGUAGAUAUCGGAAGGAACAUCAGUGGCGAAAGCGGCUUCCUGGACCAGCACCGACGUCAGGCACGAAAGCGUGGGGAGCAAACAGG